rnacentral:rRNA from 1 species
UACGUAGGGUGCGAGCGUUGUCCGGAAUUAUUGGGCGUAAAGAGCUCGUAGGCGGUGUGUCGCGUCGGCCGUGAAAACCUGCAGCUUAACUGUGGGCUUGCGGUCGAUACGGGCAUCACUGGAGUUCGGCAGGGGAGACUGGAAUUCCUGGUGUAGCGGUGAAAUGCGCAGAUAUCAGGAGGAACACCGGUGGCGAAGGCGGGUCUCUGGGCCGAUGACUGACGCUGGAGGAGCGAAAAGCGUGGGGGAGCGA